rnacentral:rRNA from 1 species
GACAGGUAAGUCAGUGGUGAAAUCUCCGGGCUUAACUCGGGAACUGCCGUUGAUACUAUCUGUCUUGAAUACCGUGGAGGUGAGCGGAAUAUGUCAUGUAGCGGUGAAAUGCUUAGAUAUGACGUAGAACACCAAUUGCGAAGGCAGCUCGCUACACGAAUAUUGACUCUGAGGCACGAAAGCGUGGGGAUCAAACAGGAUUAGAUACCCUGGUAGUCCACGCCCUAAACGAUGGAUACUCGACAUACGCGAUACACUGUGUGUGUCUGAGCGAAAGCAUUAAGUAUCCCACCUGGG